CCUACGGGGGGCUGCAGUGGGGAAUAUUGGACAAUGGGGGGAACCCUGAUCCAGCCAUGCCGCGUGUGUGAAGAAGGCCCUCGGGUUGUAAAGCACUUUCAGUGAGGAAGAACGCCUGGUGGUUAAUACCCAUCAGGAAAGACAUCACUCACAGAAGAAGCACCGGCUAACUCCGUGCCAGCAGCCGCGGUAAUACGGAGGGUGCGAGCGUUAAUCGGAAUUACUGGGCGUAAAGCGCGCGUAGGUGGCUUGAUAAGCCGGUUGUGAAAGCCCCGGGCUCAACCUGGGAACGGCAUCCGGAACUGUCAAGGUAGAGUGCAGGAGAGGAAGGUAGAAUUCCCGGUGUAGCGGUGAAAUGCGUAGAGAUCGGGAGGAAUACCAGUGGCGAAGGCGGCCUUCUGGACUGACACUGACACUGAGGUGCGAAAGCGUGGGUAGCAAACAGGAUUAGAUACCCUUGUAGUC
rnacentral:rRNA from 1 species